CUAUUCAUGAACCAUAAAUAGAUGAUUGGAGCCCCAACAUGAUUUAAAGGGUUCCUGCAUACCUGGAGAAAACAGGGGGUUAUCAAGUAUCGGAGUCAGAGAAAAACCUGUGAUGACGUCGGCAGUGGAGCUCACGGAUGAUCUAGUCAAAGAAUAUCUCACGUUCAGGGGAUUCACCAACACUUUAAAGUACUUUGAGGAUGACAUCAAAGAUAAAGGAUUCCGUCCCACUUCUGAUGACGUCACUUCCCGUUUCCAGCAACGGCACUUCCUGCUUUAUGGUGGU